AACGGAGGGAAAAAAGCUGACGCUCUCUUGUCCAGUCACAAGAGAAUUUAUGGAAAAGAAUCCUCCAGGAACGCAGCGCUCUGCACGAAGUUUCGUCUGGAUUCAGGAGCCGUGGCCGGACCUCUCAGCAUCUGCAGGAGAUGAAAAGCACAAAACAUGUCAGCGUCUGAAAUGACUGAACGUACUUUUGCUCGGGUGAAGCAUCAUUUGUGGUAAAUUUGAAGUGAAAGUCACUUGAAGUCAGAACGUGGGUUUUCUGUGAAGUUAACCGCUGUUUUCUUUAAUGCCUAAAUCAUAUAGAAGUUUUAUGCUAAUUGAAAAAAAAAAUCCCAUUUAAAGAGCAGUUUAGCAAAACUGAAACGAGUAAGAGGAAUUCUUUUUGUGUACUUUUGAGUUUUGGUUAUUUAAAUAAAGUUAUCUGCUAUUGA